UCUGCACACUAUUAAAGCUCAGGGUGGAGGCCAACCUUGGCCAGUGAAAUUCUAAGUGUCAGAAGUAUACAGGACUUUUGCUAACACCAGUAGAACAUGCCUCUAUAACUGGAGUUUGGUAGUGGUCACUGCCAUAUAC
rnacentral:snoRNA from 1 species